GACUGUACAUUCAUAAAAAUAUUCAACGUUCCUAGAUACAACAUAGAAGCUUAUUUCUUCAAACUGUGAGUCAAAGUAUGUUCGUAAGAAUUCCCAAAAGUAUUCAAUAUGUUUGAGGAUGGAAGAAUAGAAAUUCGGAUUCCCUAAACCGUAAGUUAUGAAGAAUUAAAAACCGUCCUUCCCAAAACUGAAAUAAGAAUCAAAUUUGAGAAAAGUUACUUCCAAUGUGUGUCUGCGAAGGGUUGAAACGGCAUUUCUCAAAACCACAAUCAAAUUGAAAAAAGAGGAGGAAAGUUUCAAGUACCGAAUCAUUCGUUCAACCCUUUCACAGGUCUUUAUCGUUACAGAAAAAUUUGUCCAUCGAACCUUCGUCCUUCGUAACCCUUCGCGAUGAGAAAUCGAUACUUAUCAUGUUCCACGGAGAUGCCUCGUGAAUCAGUCGACCACGUGGAAAAAUAUCCGUCUGGGUGGUCGUAAAAGUUCGUCCGUGAACCGUGUAUCGAGCCACGCCAACAGCGUAUAUAUGAAAUUUAUUUCUUGAUUCGUGAUGUGCCCAUGGGAAAGCUGGUGGUUCGUCCGUAAAACAGGUUGCCAUAGCUACACGCGGUUACGGGUGCCUUGAACCUUCGUAUGAAUCGCCUUCCUCCGUUUACAAAGCCUCUCGUCAUGUUUUUAGCCUUGUAAUUCCAAUUCCUGGCCAUUCUAAAGCCGUUUCGUCAGUAGAUUGAGAGUUAGUUUCUCUGUCCAUCGACGAAAUCCGGAGAUAGUUAAUAGAAAUCACCGUUUCGUGUCGUGUCAAUGACCCAGCGAAUGCUGUUAUUUUAAAGCAUGUUCCAAUAUCGAGCUAGAAGUCAAUGUCAAUGUUUUAUCAGACGAUGAAUUUAUUGUGAGAUUAUUGCUAGUGAUAUAAAAUUAUCUACUAGCAUUAAAUAUAGAAACGAAAUUUUUCCGAA